UCGGGUAUGGUGUAACGGCUAACAUUGCCGCCUCUCAUCUUCCAGUGCGCGGCAGCUCGGGGUUCGAUUCCCCGUACCCGAA